rnacentral:rRNA from 1 species
AGAGUUUGAUCCUGGCUCAGAACGUACGCUGGCGGCACGCCUAACACAUGCAAGUCGAACGAAGUAGCAAUACUUAGUGGCGAACGGGUGAGUAUAAUGUAGGUAUCUGCCCUUUGGUUUGGAAUAACACGAGGAAACUUGUGCUAAUACCGGAUAAGCCUUCACAGGGAAAGCUUUAGCGCCAAAGGAUGAGUCUGCACUUGAUUAGCUAGUUGGUAAGGUAAUGGCUUACCAAGGCUACGAUCAAUAGCUGAUCUGAGAGGAUGAUCAGCCACAUUGGGACUGAGACACGGCCCAAACUCCUACGGGAGGCAGCAGUGGGGAAUCUUGCACAAUGGGGGAAACCCUGAUGCAGCGAUGCCGCGUGAGUGAAGAAGGCCUUUGGGUUGUAAAACUCUUUCGUCGGGGAAGAAAAUGACUGUACCCGAAUAAGAAGGUCCGGCUAACUUCGUGCCAGCAGCCGCGGUAAUACGAAGGGACCUAGCGUAGUUCGGAAUUACUGGGCUUAAAGAGCACGUAGGUGGUUAAAAAAGUUGGUGGUGAAAUCCCAAGGCUCAACCUUGGAACUGCCAUCAAAACUUUUUAACUAGAGUAUGAUAGAGGUAAGCGGAAUUUCUAGUGUAGAGGUGAAAUUCGUAGAUAUUAGAAAGAACACCAAUUGCGAAGGCAGCUUUCUGGAUCAUUACUGACACUGAGGUGCGAAAGCAUGGGUAGCGAAGAGGAUUAGAUACCCUCGUAGUCCAUGCCGUAAACGAUGUGUGCUAGACGUUGGGAAUUUAUUUUUCAGUGUCGCAGCAAAAGCGUUAAGCACACCGCCUGGGGAGUACGACCGCAAGGUUAAAACUCAAAUGAAUUGACGGGGACCCGCACAAGUAGUGGAGCAUGUGGUUUAAUUCGAAGAUACGCGCAGAACCUUACCAACACUUGACAUGUUCGUCGCGACUCUAAGAGAUUAGAGUUUUCGGUUCGGCCGGACGAAACACAGGUGCUGCAUGGCUGUCGUCAGCUCGUGUCGUGAGAUGUUGGGUUAAGUCCCGCAACGAGCGCAACCCUUACUUUUAGUUGCUACCAUUCAGUUGGGCACUCUAAAAGAACUGCCAGUGAUAAGCUGGAGGAAGGUGGGGAUGACGUCAAGUCCUCAUGGCCCUUAUGUGUUGGGCUACACACGUGCUACAAUGGUAUUUACAGUGGGAAGCAAAGAGGCAACUCCUAGCCAACCCUCAAAAAAUACCUCAGUUCGGAUUGUACUCUGCAACUCGAGUACAUGAAGCUGGAAUUACUAGUAAUCGCAGAUCAGCGUGCUGCGGUGAAUACGUUCCCGGGUCUUGUACACACCGCCCGUCACACCAUGGAAGUUGGUUACACCUUAAGGCAAAGUGUAAAACCUUUGACUACGGUACGAUCAAUGACUGGGGUGAAGUCGUAACAAGGUAACC